GUAACAACAUACAAAUGAUUAUGACACGAAAACGAUUUAUCGGUAGAUAAUCUGCGAUAAGACGAGUACAGAGUUCGAUUUAAGAUAAUUAACGGAUAUUGAAUUAUGGUUGAGAGGGGCCUUGGCGAGCGAAGCGAGUUGCUUUUAUUUGGCAUGGGCGUACAAUUUUAUAUUGACUGGGCCGAUCACUAUGACGCCCUACCCCGGCAAAUGACGCCCUUGCCAUAUGGUUUAUAUCGUUUUGGUCCGCGGUUCUGUGCAAUAACCGCGAUACAAAAAGAAAAACCUAUAUUUUGAUCAAAUCGUUAAUUGCCGGUGGUUUUAUCGUUUACCGCACUUUGAGAACGUCGU